rnacentral:rRNA from 1 species
UACGUAGGUGGCAAGCGUUGUCCGGAAUUAUUGGGCGUAAAGCGCGCGCAGGCGGUCCUUUAAGUCUGAUGUGAAAGCCCACGGCUCAACCGUGGAGGGUCAUUGGAAACUGGAAGACUUGAGUACAGAAGAGGAAAGCGGAAUUCCACGUGUAGCGGUGAAAUGCGUAGAGAUGUGGAGGAACACCAGUGGCGAAGGCGGCUUUCUGGUCUGUAACUGACGCUAAGGCGCGAAAGCGUGGGGAGCAAACAGG